UCCCGUGUGGUCUAGUGGCUAGGAUAUGUGGCUUUCACUCACGAGGUCCAGGUUCGAUUCCCGGCACGGGAA